rnacentral:tRNA from 1 species
GGAAGAUUCGCAUAAUGGUAUUGCAGCAGUCUUGAAAACUGCCGGGGUAAUUCCCAUGAGAGUUCGAGUCCCUCAUCUUCCG